UUAAGGGGCGGAUUCAGCGUCUCAAUCUGACCGUAGCAUUUUGGAUGAAAUCAACAUGCGUGGCUCAGGGCUGCACAUUACUGUCGGACAUCGGACAAUGUCCGACUAAAUUUGGCAAAUGUCCGAGCAAAAGUAAUUUUGACCGGACAUUCGUCCGAUCACAUAAAAAAAAUUGUCACAUACAUUUUUUUGCUGUGACAAAAUCCGAUUGCAAAUUCACUCAAUUUGGCAUUCUAGCAUUUUACUUCACGUUGCGCCGGAAUGGCUAUACAUACUUGUCUCGUUACUUAUAUAUAUCUUGUGACAUAUAAUAUUAUAGUGGUGUUGGUUUUUGUCCGACCAAAUUCAAGUUAUGUCCGACCAAAAUUAAAAGUGAUCGGACAAAUGUCCUGUCAAGUCAAAUAUUUAUUUGCAACCCUGGUGGCUGAAGGCCACGCCAUACCUAGGGGGGUUGGGCGGCAUGCCCCACCAGAAAUAUUUUGAAAUUUGAAGCCCGCAACUUAGGGAGCAUUCAUUUUUUAGCUGGGGGGUGGGGGUGGGCCGGAGGAACUGAUGUCUAAUUCCAUGAUAAAACUUGGAACCCCAAGAG